rnacentral:rRNA from 1 species
CCUACGGGUGGCAGCAGUGGGGAAUAUUGCACAAUGGGGGAAACCCUGAUGCAGCGAUGCCGCGUGAGUGAAGAAGUAUUUCGGUAUGUAAAGCUCUAUCAGCAGGGAAGAAAAUGACGGUACCUGAUUAAGAAGCCCCGGCUAACUACGUGCCAAGAGCCGCGGUAAUACGUAGGGGGCGAGCGUUAUCCGGAUUUACUGGGUGUAAAGGGAGCGUAGACGGCAGCACAAGUCUGGAGUGAAAUGCCGGGGCUUAACCCCGGAACUGCUUUUGAAACUGUGCAGCUAGAGUGCAGUAGAGUGAAGUAGAAUUCCUAGUGUAGCGGUGAAAUGCGUAGAUAUUAGGAGGAAUACCAGUGGCGAAGGCGGCUUCUUGGGCUUUAACUGACGUUGAGGUUCGAAAGCGUGGGGAGCAAACAGGAUUAGAUACCCCAGUAGUC